rfam:Schistosoma curassoni strain Dakar, Senegal genome assembly, scaffold: SCTD_scaffold0003922
GUCAGCUGGAGUCCCAAAUAGGACGAAACACGCGUCCUGGAU